GCCAGGUGUGGUGGCUCACACCUGUAAUCCCAUCAUUUGGGAGGCUGAGGCAAGUGGAUUGCCUGAGCACAGGAGUUCAAGACCUGCCUGGGCAACAUGGCAAAACCAUGUCUCUA
ensembl:misc_RNA Metazoa_SRP Metazoan signal recognition particle RNA